AUUGAACGCUGGCGGCAUGCUUUACACAUGCAAGUCGAACGGUAACAGGCCGCAAGGUGCUGACGAGUGGCGAACGGGUGAGUAAUGCAUCGGAACGUGCCCAGUCGUGGGGGAUAACUGCUCGAAAGAGCAGCUAAUACCGCAUACGAUCUAUGGAUGAAAGCGGGGGACCGUAAGGCCUCGCGCGAUUGGAGCGGCCGAUGUCAGAUUAGGUAGUUGGUGGGGUAAAGGCUCACCAAGCCAACGAUCUGUAGCUGGUCUGAGAGGACGACCAGCCACACUGGGACUGAGACACGGCCCAGACACCGACGGGAGGCAGCAGUGGGGAAUUUUGGACAAGGGGGGCAACCCUGAUCCAGCAAUGCCGCGUGCAGGAAGAAGGCCUUCGGGUUGUAAACUGCUUUUGUACGGAACGAAACGGUCUGGGUUAAUACCCUGGGCUAAUGACGGUACCGUAAGAAUAAGCACCGGCUAACUACGUGCCAGCCGCCGCAGUAAAAC
rnacentral:rRNA from 1 species